GGCUUGGAAAAAAAGAAAAUUAACUACAAUUGGAAAAAUAUUAAUUAUAAAAUCUUUGAUCUUACCUAAAUUUACAUUUUUGGCUACUUCGUGUAUUGUUCCAAACAAAUACAUAAAAGAGAUUGAAAGCUGUUGUUUUAAAUAUAUUUGGGAAGGUAAAAAUGACAAAGUAAAAAGAAAUACACUUAUUGGCGAAUAUCAAAAAGGGGGGGGUUAAAAAUGGUUAAUUUUGAUAGCUAUUUUACAUCACUGAAAGCUUCAUGGGUUUCCAAAUUUAAUUCAACCACUAUGCCGAACUGGAAGAUUAUUCCUACCAAAUAUUUCAACAAUCUGGGAAAAAAUUAUCUUGUCUUUAACAUGAAUUUAGAUAAUGUUAAAUCACUAAAAGAAUUUGAAAAUAUACCAGACUUUUAUUUGCAAGUAAUUUCAAGCUGGGUGAAAACAGGGGGAGGUUUUACAAAAUUUAAAGAUAAUUUUUCAAAUAUUAGAAAACAGAUUAUUUGGGGAAAUAGAUACGUUAAACAUUGUAACAAAAGUUUGUUCUUUCAAAACUGGGUAGCAAGUGGGUUGAUUUAUAUCAACGACAUACUUGAUCGUGAGGGAAAGUUAUCAGAGGUUUUUAUUUUAGAAAAAUUAAGCAAUAAGUCUAAUUGGAUUGCAGAGUUUACGAUAUUAAAAUCUUCCAUCCCAAAGGAAUGGCAGCAAGUUCUAAUUAAAGAAAACUCUGUAAAGAGUAAAAUCAGUAUCAAUAAGAAUAACUUGAGAUGGGGAAACAAACAAAUACAAGCAAAAGAUAUCUAUAAUAAAAUGUUAUAUAAUAGUCUAGUAGAUCAAAAAUAUACACAGCCAAUUGGUAUUAAUAUUUGGACAAGAAAUUUAAAGUUAGAUAGCAAGCCAAAUAUGUCAUUCGUAAACGAUUUUAUAUUUAAAUUUUUAAGAGAGAA
rnacentral:lncRNA from 1 species